rnacentral:lncRNA from 1 species
GACAGCUUGAAAAAAGGGAUGUGAAAGCUUUCCUUCUUGUCUUCCUGGCCUUUCCCUCCAUCAUCUGACCCUCAUGAAUGCUAUCCAGCAAACAGUUUGCCUUUCUUGCACGGCUUCGGUGCAAUUUCCCAUGGACACAGGACUUAUGCAACCAGUGUGCUGCCUGGCCAUGCAGAUCUCCGACUCCCUCCCUCUCUGUCCACCCUCCUGCCUCCAGCAAUCCCUGAACACAUCUGAUCUCUGCCACCAGGAGCACAGGUCUCACAAACAGCCUACGGCUUUCAUGACUGCAAGCUGCUCCUCGGUGAGGAGAGGCAGCUCGUUGUGCCAGCCCAGGGUGAGCUUACACCUCAUUAGAAACCAGAGAAACCACAUGGGAGGUGAUCUCACAAAUGCUC